UAUUUCUUGAAUAUUUCAUGCCUUGGGUAGAGGGUGAAAGGGGUUGGUGGGCCUCUGCGGGUCAGCAACGGAGGCCCCAGGACGUGCCCUGCACUGGCCUGAGAGGGAUUUGCCCUGUUGCUGUCCUGGGCAUCUGCCCUAGACUGUCCCAGGAGCUUUGUUUGCUCUAACUGCUUCUCUUCCAGACAGGGGUGUUUUCUCUGUGGUGUCUAAUGGGAGCACAGGCCCAGGAGGCUCCCCAUAACCGAGAGGAUGCACACUGCAGCCCACUCCACUUUGCUCCAUCCAGAAGAAUGCAGUGUAUACAUCUCCUGCGUGCCAAGGAAGAGCUGUCAAUCACACAUCCUUGAAACCUCCGUCAAUGUCAGGGCCAAGGACUUGAGGUGGUGCUUGGAUUCAGGCCAGGAUUUCUGUCAAGGACAUCAAGAAAAAAGAGCUCCUCCGGGUUUGCCGGUCUCUGACUGUAAGGACUAAGGGGACUUGGAGAUUUGUGGCCACCUUUACUCCACAGAAAGAGGGCUUGCCCAGAAAGGAAACCAAGACAAGGCAAGUCAGAUAAGGAGGAAAGGUCCCAAUGUUUGAACCUCUGCUCUGUCCAUGCCUAGUGGGGCCACACUGCAGGACUCUAUUUUUCCAGCAAUUGAAUUUCCUAUUCUUGUUUGAGCUAGGUUUGUGUCAGUGUGUGUCACUUGUUACUAAAACUUUCUGAGUCAGGCACCUAAAGGGAAAACCAUAUGCACCUAUGGAUUGACCUACAAAAAUGGCAAUUUCUUACGGUUUAACCCAAUCUAAUAGGAAAUUCAGGCAGUCAGAGCCUCUGAUGUCCCAUUUCCCAUAGCUCUGUGUUCUAGGUCUUUUGAGUUUUAGUUUCCUCAUAUUGAAAAGUUGAUGAAGACAAAGCACGUGGACAUCUGUACACUAGCUCUUUCAACAUGUGACACUCAUUACUAACAGUUACGGUUGGUGUCCCCCCAAAGCACAUAUGUGAGAAAAUGCAAGAAUAUUUGAAGAUAAAAUUAUUAAUGUAACACAAACAGUGGAUUAAUCCACUUGAGUGAAUUAACUGGGUGUUAACUGUAGGCAGGUAGGGCAUGGCUAGGUCACUGGAGGUGUGCCUUUGGGGUUUAUAUUUUGUCCCCGGUGAGUGGAGCCUGCUCUCUGCUUUCUGUUUGCCAUAUCCUGAGCUUUCUUUCUCCUCCACACCCUUCUACCAUGAUGUUCUAGAUCACUUUGGGCUCAGAGUGAUGGACUUGGAUGACCAUGGACAAACAACGAGCCAAAAUAAACUUUUCCUCUCCUAAGUCA